CACAAGAGAGUCCAUUGGGGUAGGAGCCUGGAACUAUUCUCCGCUAAAGACGGCUUUGAGCUUUGAACUCACUACGUACCCAAGAAUAACCUUGAACUUCUGAUCAUCUUGCCUCCCAAGUGCUGGGAAUUGCACACAUUCACCGCCAUGCUUGGUUGAUGACAGUGCUGCAGCUGGAACCCAGGACUGUAUGCAUGUCUGGAAGCACUCUAUUUAGCUAGAGAAUCUGUUCUUUUCUCUACCACCCUGUGUAAUGAAGUCUCAAGAGACCCUGCUCAAGUUCUGAGAUGUCUCUGCCCCUGCCCCUGCCAAACACCUCAUCAGUCAUCUUCAUGUUGCUGUGACGAAAUACUUGAUAAAAUGAACUUAAAGGG